AGCGAACGCUGGCGGCAGGCUUAACACAUGCAAGUCGAACGAACCCUUCGGGGUUAGUGGCGGACGGGUGAGUAACACGUGGGAACGUGCCUUUUGGUUCGGAACAACACAGGGAAACUUGUGCUAAUACCGGAUGUGCCCUUCGGGGGAAAGAUUUAUCGCCAUUAGAGCGGCCCGCGUCUGAUUAGCUUGUUGGUGAGGUAAAGGCUCACCAAGGCUACGAUCAGUAGCUGGUCUGAGAGGANGAUCAGCCACACUGGGACUGAGACACGGCCCAGACUCCUACGGGAGGCAGCAGUGGGGAAUCUUGCGCAAGUGGGGGAAACCCGUGACGCAGCCAUGCCGCGUGAAUGAUGAAGGUCUUAGGA
rnacentral:rRNA from 1 species